CGCGGUAUUUUGACCGUGCGAAGGUAGCAUAAUCAUUAGUCUUUUAAUUGAAGGCUUGUAUGAAGGGUUGGACGAGAAAUUAGCUGUCUUUGUAUGAAAGAUGGAACUUCACUUUUAAGUGAAAAGGCUUAAAUGUUCUAAAGGGACGAUAAGACCCUAUAAAGUUUGACGGUCUGGGUCUUAGAAGACAAGUUAGGUAAUUAGAGUUUGUUAGGAGCGGGGUGUUUUGUUGGGGCGAUAAGAAUAUAAAUGAUUUNNAACUGUUUNUAUGGUUAGAGACAAAGGUAGUUGGGUUUAUGAUCCUUGUUAAAGAUUAUUAGAAUAAAUUACUUUAGGGAUAACAGCGUAAUUUUUUUUGAGAGUUCUUAUCGACAAAGAAGUUUGCGACCUCGAUGUUGAAUUAAAAGUUCUUUGUGGCGUAGCAGUUAGGAGAGAAGGUCUGUUCGACCUUUAAAUUUUUACAUGAUUUGA
rnacentral:rRNA from 1 species